UUUAUUUUUUAUAAUGGACUUGUCACAGAAGAACUGAAAGUGAUCACCAAUUGACCAUUGAAACUAUUUCCCUAAUUACCUGAACCGGCUUGGGUGUGAGACUGUUGCCCUUCUUAAUAAAAGCACGCUUGAAACACUAGGAACGAGUGUAACGACUGAGGCAGAACUGAGCAGCAACAACAACAACGAAAUCGGAACGAGAGUAACGACCGAGACGGAACUGAGCAGCAGCAACACCAACAAAAGCAACAGAGGGUUUACCGUGGGGCGACACCGGUUUUAACCUACAUAUUCCUAACGAUACAGGCGGGCACACCGGACAGCGGAGCAGCUGCGGCACCACAGACAGACAGGCGGACAGAUUGAUAGACGAGGCGUCGGGGACCCGUGUGGUGCAGCAGGGCUCUAUAUGAAGCUGUUGGAGGGAGUCGUACUUACUACAUCCUCGCAGAAUUUUAAUAUAACGCGUCAUUCCCUGCCCCUGCUGAGACAAGAAGCGGCCUAUAUGGAUUGAAACCGAGUGAAGACGAGCAUCGCUCGGCAGAGCUGUUUGGCCGGGACUUUUAAUGUAUUUUAAUAGGUUGUAUUUAGUUGUCUUAUUGUCUAUUUUAGGGUUUAGUUUUAAUUUUAUUUUCUUCGUUUUAGGCGGCUGUCUUUUUUUAAUUUGUUUUACUGGCAUCCUGGAAUAAACCAAUUUUCUAGA